rnacentral:rRNA from 1 species
UACGGAGGGUGCAAGCGUUAUCCGGAUUCACUGGGUUUAGAGGGUGCGUAGGAGGGUAGGUAAGUCAGUGGUGAAAUCUUCGAGCUUAACUCGGAAACUGCCGUUGAUACUAUCUAUCUUGAAUACCGUGGAGGUGAGCGGAAUAUGUCAUGUAGCGGUGAAAUGCUUAGAUAUGACAUAGAACACCAAUUGCGAAGGCAGCUCGCUACACGAAUAUUGACUCUGAGGCACGAAAGCGUGGGGAUCAAACAGG